UACAGAGGUCCCAAGCGUUGUUCGGAUUCAUUGGGCGUAAAGGGUGUGUAGGUGGCGCUGUAAGUCGGGUGUGAAAUCUCGGGGCUUAACUCCGAAACUGCAUUCGAUACUGCUUUGCUUGAGGCCGGGAGAGGUGAGUGGAAUUCCCGGUGUAGCAGUGAAAUGCGUAGAUAUCGAGAGGAACACCUGCGGCGAAGGCGGGUUGCUGGGCUGACACUGACGCUGAAGCGCGAAAGCUAGGGGAGCGAACGGG
rnacentral:rRNA from 1 species